rnacentral:rRNA from 1 species
GAUGAACGCUGACAGAAUGCUUAACACAUGCAAGUCUUUGGCGAAGCUGUGCUUGCACAGCCUAGCCAAGGCGGACGGGUGAGUAACGCGUAAGGAACUUGCCCUGCAGUCAGGGAUAACAGACGGAAACGACUGAUAAGACCUGGUAAAGUCAGGCGGACUCAUGUCCAGCCUGAUGAAAAGAGAUGCUGCAGGAGAGCCUUGCGUCCUAUUAGCUUGUUGGUGGGGUAACGGCCCACCAAGGCGAUGAUAGGUAGCCGGCCUGAGAGGGUGGACGGCCACAAGGGGACUGAGAUACGGCCCUUGCUCCUACGGGAGGCAGCAGUGGGGAAUAUUGGACAAUGGGGGCAACCCUGAUCCAGCAAUUCUGUGUGCACGAUGAAGGUUUUCGGAUUGUAAAGUGCUUUCAGCAGGGAAGAAAAAAAUGACGGUACCUGCAGAAGAAGCGACGGCUAAAUACGUG